rfam:Astyanax mexicanus chromosome 3, whole genome shotgun sequence.
UAAACUUAAAACUGUAAGUCGCUUUGGACAAAAGCGUCUGCCAAAUGUAAUGUA